CAUAAUAUUAACCCAUUCAUGGCCACGAACCGCCGAGCGUACACAAUACGCCAGGCCACCAUACAAAUCGUUUUUAGCUAAAACGCAUGACUCAGCUUAUGGGUCUCGAGCCUGGCGCGAACGGUAAAUAAAUCGCCGCUUAUGAAGCCGGCCAGUUGGACAGCAUUAUGCAACAUUUUUACUAACCACCGAUUUUCUGUGCCUAUCAAAAAAGAAACUAAUUAUUGCAUCGGUCAGGUUAGGCGGGUUCAAAUUCCGGUAAUCCAUAGCCAUGGUCACAAAAUACGAAAUCACUAAACAGCACAGGAGGAGUAUAAAGUCGCCAACGAAUAAAUCGUGACUAAAUAAUAUUUUCCAUGUUACUCCAAAAUACAUCUCUAAUAGGGGGGAUGGGAUGAAUCACAUCUUGAACUCUUGUGACAAAUACCACAUGAAAGAUAAUACCGCCGCCGCCGUUCGGAUGCAUUCCUUGUUUAUUGUCCAAGUGUGUCCGAUAAGCUUACACCUGGUCGGUCAUUAUCUUUGUUUUGGUAAACGCCAUUAUAUUAGUAACAAUAGAGAACUUAAAAUGUAUUAUAGUACUUACUUUCUAAUCUGCCGUAGAAACCAC